rnacentral:rRNA from 1 species
CUACGGGUGGCUGCAGUGGGGAAUAUUGCACAAUGGGCGCAAGCCUGAUGCAGCCAUGCCGCGUGUAUGAAGAAGGCCUUCGGGUUGUAAAGUACUUUCAGCGGGGAGGAAGGGAGUAAAGUUAAUACCUUUGCUCAUUGACGUUACCCGCAGAAGAAGCACCGGCUAACUCCGUGCCAGCAGCCGCGGUAAUACGGAGGGUGCAAGCGUUAAUCGGAAUUACUGGGCGUAAAGCGCACGCAGGCGGUUUGUUAAGUCAGAUGUGAAAUCCCCGGGCUCAACCUGGGAACUGCAUCUGAUACUGGCAAGCUUGAGUCUCGUAGAGGGGGGUAGAAUUCCAGGUGUAGCGGUGAAAUGCGUAGAGAUCUGGAGGAAUACCGGUGGCGAAGGCGGCCCCCUGGACGAUGACUGACGCUCAGGUGCGAAAGCGUGGGGAGCAAACAGGAUUAGAUACCCUUGUAGUC